AUUCCAGCUCUAAUAGCGUAUAUUAAUGUUGUUGCAGUUAAAAAGCUCGUAGUUGGAUUUUGGAGUUUGACAAGUGGUCUGCCUAAGGUGUGUACUGCUUGUCGGCUCUUCUUUUCUGGGGACCACGCUGCUCUUUAUUGAGGGGUGCUGGGAAUCAGAUCUUUUACUUUGAAAAAAUUAGAGUGUUCAAAGCAGGCCCACGCAUUGAAUACAUUAGCAUGGAAUAAUGGAAUAGGACUUUGGUCUUAUUUUGUUGGUUUCUAAGGCCGAGGUAAUGAUUAAUAGGGAUAGUUGGGGGCGUUUAUAUUCCAUUGUCAGAGGUGAAAUUCUUGGAUUUAUGGAAGAUAAACUACUGCGAAGGCAUUUACCAAGGAUGUUUUCAUUA
rnacentral:rRNA from 1 species